UAGGGAAUCUUCGGCAAUGGACGAAAGUCUGACCGAGCAACGCCGCGUGAGUGAAGAAGGUUUUCGGAUCGUAAAACUCUGUUGUUAGAGAAGAACAAGGACGUUAGUAACUGAACGUCCCCUGACGGUAUCUAACCAGAAAGCCACGGCUAACUACGUGCCAGCAGCCGCGGUAAUACGUAGGUGGCAAGCGUUGUCCGGAUUUCUUCGGCGUAAAGCGAGCGCAGGCGGUUUCUUAAGUCUGAUGUGAAAGCCCCCGGCUCAACCGGGGAGGGUCAUUGGAAACUGGGGUACUUGAGUGCAGAAGAGGAGAGUGGAAUUCCAUGUGUAGCGGUUAAAUGCGUAGAUAUAUGGAGGAACACCAGUGGCGAGGGCGGCUCUCUGGUCUGUAACUGACGCUGAGGCUCGAAAGCGUGGGGAGCAAACAGG
rnacentral:rRNA from 1 species